rnacentral:lncRNA from 1 species
AUUGGUGCCUCAUCUUGAUACUCCUACUGGAUUGGUACAUUGGUUCGCAAACUGAGGGCAAUACUUACUGCUACUGUGCUGCAUCACCCUUUCCUCUUCAAGGGAAAAUCCAACACAAGAUCAAGAGGUAGCAGUCCACCCCACGCCUAGUGGAAGACCUAUGCUCCGCGCUGGGUGCAGGCAAAGUCAAUCAACCUAGUCCACCAAUGACUAUGCCCGCUGCUCCCAAGGAAACCCAUAUAGUCCACCAAUGAAUCUAGCAGCCUGAUUGCCGGACGCGGCGUUUGCUUGCUUUUCUUGGAUUUCAAAAUAUUUUCC